rnacentral:rRNA from 1 species
AGAGUUUGAUCAUGGCUCAGGACGAACGCUGGCGGCGUGCCUAAUGCAUGCAAGUCGCACGCAGGAGCUUCGGCUGCUGAGUGGCGCACGGCUGAGUAGCCCGUGGGCAUCUGGCCCCUCGUGGGGGACAACAGCGCGAAAGUGCUGCUAAUCCCGCAUACGCUCCGUGAGGAGGAAAGCGGCAACGCGCGGGGGGGGGAGCCUGCGCCCCAUCAGGUAGUUGGUGUGGUAACGGCGCACCAAGCCGACGACGGGUCGGGGGUCUGAGAGGACGACCCCCCACACUGGGACUGAGACACGGCCCAGACUCCUACGGGAGGCAGCAGUGAGGGAUAUUGCGCAAUGGAGGCAACCCUGAACCAGCGACGCCGCGUGGGUGAUGAAGGCCUUCGGGUCGUAAAGCCCUUUUCUGUGUGACGAGCAAGGACGGUAGCACAGGAAUAAGCCUCGGCUAACUACGUGCCAGCCGCCGCGGUAAUUC